GUCUACAGCCAUGCUAUCCUGAACAAGCCCCGAUGUCUGAUCUUGGAAGCUAAGCAGGGUCAGGCCUGGUUAGUACUUGGAUAGGAGACCACCUGGGAAGACCAGGUGCUGUAGGCA
rnacentral:rRNA from 1 species